rnacentral:rRNA from 1 species
UUUUAUUUGAGAGUUUGAUCCUGGCUCAGGAUGAACGCUGGCGGCGUGCCUAACACAUGCAAGUUGAGCGAUUUACUUCGGUAAAGAGCGGCGGACGGGUGAGUAACGCGUGGGUAACCUACCCUGUACACACGGAUAACAUACCGAAAGGUAUGCUAAUACGGGAUAAUAUAUUUGAGAGGCAUCUCUUAAAUAUCAAAGGUGAGCCAGUACAGGAUGGACCCGCGUCUGAUUAGUUAGUUGGUAAGGUAACGGCUUACCAAGGCGACGAUCAGUAGCCGACCUGAGAGGGUGAUCGGCCACAUUGGAACUGAGACACGGUCCAAACUCCUACGGGAGGCAGCAGUGGGGAAUAUUGCACAAUGGGCGAAAGCCUGAUGCAGCAACGCCGCGUGAGUGAUGAAGGCCUUCGGG